AUGCUCAAAACAUACCUGGUACUGACAUCUCUUACAACAAUGAAACUAGUCCUGGUAUUGUCGCUGAGAAUGUAGGUACCUCAGAGGAUGAUGUCAAUUCUGAGACACAAAAAGAUGAGACCAUCUGCCCAGCUGGAACAGUAAGUUAUGCAAUUCCAGCACCAUUAGAUGUAGAGGAAGAUUGUGUCGUGUCAGCCAUUAGGGUAGAAUCAAAGUUUUCUGAUGAAGAUGACAGCCUUGGGAAGGAAUGCAUACUGAUAUCCGACCUGGGUUCAACAAGAGUUCCCCCACCAUCCAGACAUCACACAGAAACUUGUUCACCUACUGCAGUUAAGAAGGAAGAGUUUGAAAGAGAGAUUGAAAAGGAUGAUGAUGACUCCUGGAGCAAUAAACAAAACUUCGGUGUUGCAGUGAGCAAUGGCGGUGGUGAUGAUGAAGAGUAUAAUAGAACAGGAAGAUUUGGUCGUAACACUGUACUGGCUAAUCAAAGUAAUGUGGUGCCUGAGGAUGGAUUGGAAAAUACAGACCGUUCUUCUAAUGCUGAAGAUUAUGCUGGGUCCAACAAAGAUGCUUUCAAACGUAGAUCUUCAUGGGGGUCUUCAUUAGAGGACAGUGACACUGACCUACCCAGAGAAAAUGAGGUAAACAAGGAGACGCUUGAUCCAAAAAGUAAUGUUCAAGCAUCCGAGCUACAACCAGAAGCAGCAACACUGCAUUCAAAAUGCUCAUUACCUCAUCCAAAUAAAGACCACCCGGAUACCUCAUGGGAUUCGUCAUCACCAGUAGUACCAUCUCCAAAAUGUGUCUCCCCUCAGCCAGUGAUAAAUGCAUCUACAUCCUUAUUUGGAUUAUAUUCAACAAGCACCCCUGAGUCCAAAAACAGAACAACAAAAGCAACAGUAGAUGAAUCAGAGUGGGAUUCUUCCUCUGUAAAUAAUGACCAAAAUGAUAAUGGGUCCUUCACUAAAGGUGAUUUGCAGUCACCAAUUUCUAAAACAGAUAUUGUAACAGCAAACCAGACUGGAGAGCAGCAGUGUUCUGAUGGCUGGGAAGAAGAAGAUAAAGAAAAUGUUGAAAAAGAGUCAAAUGACCCCUCCCCUGCAGCAGUGUCACCGGUACCCGAGGAUGAGAAACCAACCAGAAGCCAAUUGGUUGUUGACGAUGAUGUUAAAUUAAUUGGUCACUUAUCACAAAUGGAAGGAAAAUUGGACUCAGAGAAUGAGAACGGUGAUGAUAGUAGUUGGGACGAUGAAGAGGAAAGUGAUGAGUCAGAAAAGCAGAAGACAACGGCGACAAAGGAGGAUGAAGUUUUAGACUGUGGUAACACCUUGAAGACAUGUCUUUCUACCCCAACCAAGUCGAGGCCCACAAGUGCAAUAGACAAGAUGUUGAAGGGCAAUGAAGAAAACGAGAAGGCCCCCCAAUCUAUCAUUGAUGGAAAGGAUGAGCAUCCAGAGGAUAACAGACUGGAGGAGGAAACGUUGGUGGGGGAGAAAGACAAUCCCAGCAAAGACGAUGAGACUAGUGAGGACUCCGACAGCCAGGACCAAAAUCUGCAGUAUGAUGUUGCCAAUGCCACAGUCAAGUUGUCUGACGGCGACCAUGAACACAUGGCUCAAUUAACUGCAUAUGUUCCACUGGAAAAUAUUGGAAAAAGUGGCAUUGUUCUACAGACCAGAAUGUCAUCAGAUAACCCCAGUGAAGAAGUUUUUUCAAGCCCUCCCACUGCUGGUCAACACAAUGAUUCGGACAGGAACACAUUGUCUGAUGAAGCGUUACCUCAGACUGACAUUGAUGGUGUAGAUCUAGACUCCCCUGAUGAGGCAGAGAGCAUAGGCAUGAGAAGUCAAGAGUUCAGAAACAUUGAAGAGCCUGUUGUUAAGAAAGAAGAUUCCACUGAGGAUGAGGAUGAUGAAAAGGACCAAGACGAGGAGAGGGAUGAGGAGGCAAAAGAAGAAGACAACGUCUCGGAUGAAAAUGAUCAACCUGAAGAUAGUGGAGAAUCCCUAGACGCCACCUUACCUGUUCCUGAGACAGAUGUCUCUAAAGAUAAGAAAAGAGAUUUCCUGUCCGAGCUGGGUCUAGAGAAGGGAGAAGAGGAGCAGGAUUCUUGGGACUCUGAGUCCCACUCUGAAAACCUCAAUAUGACACAUGAAGAGAAACAAAGCUUGCAUACUCAGGAUCAAGAAGAGAUGGCCACUGUUGAAGAAGAGAUUAAAGAAAACUUGUUUUAUAUUCCCUCUUUUUUAAGAGGGGAUGGAGGCAAUAGGAUGGCAGUCCUAGAGCCUCGGAGGAGUGUAGGGAGGCCAAGAGGCAACCAGGGAGAGGUUGGAAACGACGACAAUGGUGAUGAUAAUGGAGGAGAACAUGCUGAUGAAGAUGAUACUAUACAGAAAGAGACUGAGAAGGCAAAAUGGGAACCACUUCGUGUUUUGAGCAAACUUGAAGGAGAUAACGAACAAAAGACCGACUUAAUGGAAGAGCUUGGUCUGGGUGAUGUUGAUGAUCUUGAAGCCAAAAAAGCAGAUGCUUCGGAUUGGGACUCAGCCAGCACUACCAGUAAGAGAACCUUGCCCAGCCGCAGAAUGCCCUCCCCUGGACUUGAGGAGUUCCCAGAAUGCUCCUCUCCAUCUGUCAAAGAGCAAAAGGAGGUCAUUGCUCCAGCAGCCCCCCUGACACCUCAGAGGAGCAUGAACUCCAACAAGACACUGCCCAGCACACCCCCUCAACCUGCGCCCCAACCACAGCCUCGAGCAAGGAAGAUGGUGCUUCAGAAAUCAGAGAGUGAAGAAGAAUCAGAUUGGGAACCAGACAAUGUGGCGUCCACUUGCAAUACCGCCAAGAUUGACAAUCAGCUGCAAAACAUAGCUGAGCUUCAGGCAGUGGUUACACCAGGUUCCCCUGAGCUCACACCAAUGGCAAGAGACAGUAAAAGUAAACUAGAGCCUGAAAAGCAGCAACAAAAGGAGAUAGAUGAGGCACUAGAUACAUGCCAGUUAGAUCUGAACCCAUGUCCAUCUGGCCACGUGGGCUCUGACGGUGGAGAAAAGGAUAAUUACUUUGUAGAUGAGUGCAGUCCUGCAGAAAGAAGUAAAGCGGGUCAUGUACCGUGGGAGAAUCGCUACGAGAAGCUCUGGGUAGAGGUGGAGAAAAGGGAGGUCAAAUCCACUUUCAAGAAUGUUGCUGGUGAAUUAAAAGAGAAGUUUGGAGAACUGCUCAAAUCAAGACAUUCUACAGAAGAAGAACAGGCCACGGCUGAAUUUACUGCUGCAGAAGAAGAGUCAAGUGAUGAAGAUGAAGAAGGGGACGUUAUUGUGCGCCCCAUGGCCAGAGCGAGGACUACCGUCCUUCUCACUAUACCUGAGCAGAGGGAGUCUGGACUAGAAGACUCUGUAACGGAGUCAACUGACAACUCCUUAUGCGAGAACAUGAUACAGGUCUGUGAGCCCCUGGCCAGUGAGAGAAUCAUGUGUCCAGAGCCAGAUCUACUCACUGAUGAUGUUUUGGAGGAGUCUCUUUCACCUCAACUCGCCACAGCACAAAAAGACAGCAGCUUAUCACCUGUUACCACAACUUUUACUGAUAAUCAUACCGUACCCACGUUGGAUGUAGACCUGAGCACAUUCUUAAAAGAUGCGGCCAAACUCAGGCCAUUCCACAAACCACAUCUGGACCACAUCUGGAAGGACAACAAUGCUAAUGGUGAUGAAGCUGACAAAAACAAUAGAAGUUCAGAUGAGAAUCCUGAAGAACUUAUCAAGUCUCAUCCCCCCUCACUAAGCAGACGUUCAGCAUUUAUCCAAGGUGUUUCUGAUGAGGAGCUGGAAGAGGACAUGGAAAGAUUUAAACUUGAGGUUGGCAGGGAGACGACAAGGACUGCUAUGCCAGUGCACAAAUUAAGUACUUCCUUGGAUACUGGUGGAACGGCAUUGGAAGAAGUGAGUCCUGGGAAACCUGAGACCAGAGCAAGAGCAGUUUACCAGGAACAGCAGCCUGUGGCCACCAAUAGCACCAACGGGGCACCAGUGCAAUUGCAUCUCCCACUCCAGCAGACCUGCAAUAGCAACAGACAGGAGGGCCAAGCUGUAGAGGAGACCUUACAGCUGGAGCUGGUCAGAGGGGCCCGGCGCAGCGGAGCCCCUCAGACCAACACUCAUGUCAAUGGAGAUCCGCUCUCUGUGUUUGAUGAUAGCACUUUAAGUGAAGUGUCGGACGAUGAAGGAAGGUUUCCAACCAGUGGGAAACAGAAAACUGAGAACCCUGAAGUUGAGAUGGCAGAAGACUUUGAUGAACUCACUCAGUCAUCCGACACAGCCACAGAUGACAUUGACUCUCCCACUUCAGGCUAUCGUCACGCAUCCCUCCUCAUUCAGAAGCUGGACUCAGCCACUUUGGACUCGAGAAGCAUGGUGAAACUGCAGAACAUUUUCCACGAAUAUGAGCGCUCCAUCCAAAAGGCAAGGAGUCGCCAUGGGUACCUGGCAGACAAGGUGAGCCAUUUGGAAAUGGAGAGGGCGGAGUUGAAGAGCUCUUUGGAGGAAGUUAAAGAUGUUAAAUCUGCCUUGGAGCGCAACCAGCUGGAACUGCAGACUGAAGUCACAAACCUCAAAUUUCAGCUGAAACAAGAGCAGGAAAAUAGCCGCAAUGCCACCAUGAUGUACAACACAACCCGAGAUAAGCUCAGGAGGAUGGAGGAGCAGCAUCAGCUGGAGGUUCAGGAGAGACAAAAGGUGGAGCUCACCCUCAGGAAUCUGGAGCUGGAGAUGAGAACACUGGUCAACAACAUUAAACAGCUUGAAGAGGACCACAGUGAAAGCCAGAGACUUCUGGCCCAGGAGCGCAGUGCUCGGACGCUGCAGGAGAAUCUGCUCAACAGCCAUCUCCGUAAGCAGCAAGAGAUAGAGAACGAGAAUAAAAGAAACAUGAGCAAAAGCAAUGAGGCUUUGUCCCAGCUCACUGAAGCCAGUGACAGGGAGAGGGAGUUGAUCCAGCAGACUGCUACCUUGCAGGAGCAACUGACCAGCCUGAGAACAGACCUCGAACAUUUGCAGGCCAACAGCAGUCUCAAAGAGAGCCAUCUUUUGGAAGAGAACGAGGCCCUCAAGGAACAGCUAGAAGACGCUCGUCGAGAUCUCAAACUCAACAGUGAAGCCCUGACCCAAACUGUCUUCAACUGCAAUAACCAGGUGACCACCCUGAAGUCUGAGUUAGCAAUGACAACAACCCGGCUGGAAAAUGAGCGGCAGACUCGCGAAGCACUGGAUGCAGAGGUGGAGUCCACUCGUACCCGCUUGGCUGGAGCCAUAAAGGAAGCAGAGCUUUGCCGGGCAGCUAACACAGACACCGAGAGAACUCUGCUCCGGGAGAAAGAUGAACACCAGCGUCUUAAAGACAGAUUCACAGGUGAAGCAGCCAAUCAACGCGAGGAAGUUAGCAGCCUCACACAGAAGCUGGCCAAGGCAGAGACUCGUGCAAACAGCAUGGAAAAUGAGGUUUACAGGGCGACACUACAGCUGACGGAGAAGGGCCUGCUGCUGGAGGUCCUGCAGCGGGAGAAGGACCAGGCAGCUUUACGUGUCAAAGAGUUAGAAGCGGCUCUUCAGGCCGAGAGAGAACUGGUCAGCCGUGCCGGAGCACGCCAAGAGGCCGUGCAGGAGCGACUUGCCCAAACCCAGAGUGAGUGCAUGCUAUUGCGGCAACAGCUAGAGGAGGCCCAAAACAAAGGUGUUGCAAAGGAUCAUGCUGUUACAGAUGCCCAAGAGCGCUUCAGUGACAUUCUGUCCAAGCUGCACUCUGACAGCGAAGAGAGAGUACAACUAGUGGAGGAGAGAAAUAAAGAGCUUGCCAGUAAGGCUGCUGAUCUUCGAGAUCAGAUCUAUAAGUUAGAGGAAGAGAAGAGCGAAAGAGAGACAAGUGUAAGGCAGCUGCAGCAGGAGCUAGCUGACUCACUCAAGAAGCUGUCAAUGAGUGAAGCUUCUCUGGAGGUCAACACACGCUAUCGCAAUGACCUGGAAGAGGAGAAGGCUCGGCUCUUUAAAGACUUGGACAGGCUCAAAGGAAAGCUGGAAGAAAGCGAAGACCAGUAUAUGCAAGCUGAGAGACGUAUUAACAGUCUAAAGAGCUGUCUGGAUGAAAGGGAGAAGCAACUCACCACUGCUGCUCAGAGACAGCAGGAGGUGCUGUCCGCCUCAGCAGCUGCUGAUACCACCAUCAAACAGCUGGAGGAAGCUGUGCAAAGGCUCGAGAUAGAGAACGCCAGGCUAGAAGCUGCUGCAAAGCAACAGUCCAACAAAAUUGAUGCACUUCAGAAAGGGGCUCAGGAAUUUGUCAUGCUAUCUGAUCGCUCGCCUGGAGGAGGGGUUGGUAUUGUGGAUGUCAGAGAUCAUCUGGAGGACUUGGUCACAAACCUCCAAAGCAGUAAGAUGACUUUGGAAGACCAACUCAGUCGAGAGGUCCAGAAGCAAAGCAUGCUGUCUCACACAGCCCAGGACUCGCAGGCCUUGUGGGAGGAGGAGCUGAAAAGCCGCUCUAAGUUAGGACUGCGCCUGGCAGAGCUUGAAAAGGAAAAAGGAGACCUGAGCACCCAGAUGGAAAUAGAAAAGAAGAAAGCCAAGAAAAUAGCAGAGCAGAAAAAGGCUGUGGACACCCGGCUGGAUCAAGAGAUGAAGAGAAACACAGAGCUCCAAAAAGAAAUGUACAGGUUGCGUACUGUAUUGAAGACUGCAAAGAAGAAAUUACGGGAUCAGGACACUGGUGGAGCAGAAUUUGGCUUUCCUAUGAACAGUCUACAGGUGGACCCUGGCAGACAUAGCCAAGCAGAGGGUGCCCUUGCACGAUUGAAAGAAAAGGUCGAUGAUCUGCAGAUGCAACUGGAGAAGGAAGGGUCCCGUCGCAGCCAGCUAGAGAAGGUGAACGGAGACCUUAAGGAUCAGCUGUCUUCCCUGAAGAGCAUGAGCCGCAGUAACGAACACCUGGAGAGGGAAAAGAGGCAGCUGGAGGAGGAAGUGCUGGACCUGAGACGCCGAAUGGAGGCUGUUCAGAUGGAGCACAGCCAGGUGGAACAGUACCGCCAUGAUGCAGAGGAGCGGGCCCGUCAGGAGAUCCAACAGAAACUGGAGCAGGUCAACAUCUUCCUGCAGUCGCAGGCAGCAUCCCAGGAAGCAUUGGAUCAGAUUAAAGCGGUCAAUGAGACCAACCUGCGUUCUCAGCUGGAGCAGAAGAUCCGGGAGCUGGAGGGUGAACUGGGCCGGGCCCGCGCCACCCAUCAUGACAGCCUCAGUCAAAAAGAAUCCACACGCACGGAGCUAGAGAGAUACCGCCAGCUCUACACAGAGGAGCUGCGCAGCCGCAAGUCCCUGACUGCCAAACUAGAGAGGGCCAACAGUCGUCUCGCAGAAGCCAAUUCUAAGUUGCUCAACGAGCGCAGCAGGUCUCUGAUCACCAGCAGCAUCGCAAACGGUAGCCUUGGAGGGCCCUCGCUGGACCUGGGCUCUUUGGGUUCCCCAGCACAAUAUGGGACCACACUGGGACCCCUCAACAGGAGCUUAGGCCUGGGAUUCUCCCUCCUCAGCCCUGUAACUGAGGGGCAGAACAGCCGGGUGGAGGACUACCUUGCCAAGCUUCUAGCUCAAAAGUCUAUCUCUCACCUCUCCUCUCUUCAGCCAGACCCAUAACCAGAUGCAGACUGGGCUGGAUAGAAACAUAUCAAAGGAAUUAAACAAUGCCACAGCAGAGCUGGACUCGGCUUCAGCGCGGAUGUCACCGGUAGGCUCUGCCUCCAGGGUGGAGCUGGACCCCGUCAGCAGGGCCACGCAGCAGUACUUGGAGGUACUCAAGAAGAACAAUAUGAUCUGAACUCACAUCCCAGCUGCUCGCAUUCAAAUGUUGUAUUUCAGCCAAUUAAAAUCCUGACUGAACCAAGGCCAAAGCCACUGCCCAGUCAUAUAACACUAAGAAUCCAACUUUGUAGGUAUUUAUUCUUCCUUCUUUAAUGAAAGAAAACAAACAUACCGGGAAUGCACAUUGCACUUAACCACUCAGGAGCAAAGGGCAAGAGUCAUAUAUAUAUAUAUAUAUAUAUAUAUAUAUAUAUAUAUAUAUAUAUAUAUAUAUAUAUAUAUAUAUAUAUAUAUAUAUAUAUAUGUAUGUAUAUAUGUAGAGAGAGAGAGAAUUGUGGUUUGGAUUUUUAUUUGUGAAUAUUGGUGUUACUAAAUUGGAAUUUGAUGAAUGCAUCAUUACUAAUUUCGCCAAGAUAUUACAUUUGGUACGUGCCAUCAAAUGGUGCAAAAUCUGUCUUGGUCUUGCAUUAUUAGACUCAUUGGAGUAUUGUGUUUAUGAUUAUUUUAUUUAUUCAUGAAUAUGUACGAUAAGACGAGCUGGAAUACUCUCUGGCUACUGAAACAGGGUGACUUCAUUUGUACAACUGUCAUUUCAGCUUUGAUUGGCUUGAUUUUAAGGCCACCAAAGAUUAAACAGACUUUUUGUGUUUGUUAGUUUUUCAUUAUUCAUAAAUACUGUAACAGAAUACAUAUAGGAAACCAUUUAUGACGCCUGUACCUUACAGAAAACUCUAAAGUUGUAAAUAAAAAAUAAAAAUAAA